UCUGAAAUAAUAAGGUGUGAUUUAGAAAUAAAUAAAGAAUCUUCUGUUGUUGAAAAGGUCAAUGUUGAUUACUCCCUAUAAAUUGCGCUGUUGGAUCGUUUUAAUGGGAAGUAUUUAUGCAGAUCCUUGAGCUCUGACUGAUGAUGAUGAUAUAGGUUGGUGAUGAUGAUGAUGAUGAUAUAGGUUAGUGAUGAUGAUGAUGAAGACUUGUGAUGAUGAUGAUAUAGACUAGUGAUGAUGAUGAUAUUUAUGAUAAUUAUAUGGGUUGGUUAUGAUGAUAGGUUGGUGAUGAUGGAGAAAAAAAAACAAGACAAUGAUGGUGAUGAUGACAAUGAUGAUGAUGAUGAUGAUGAUGAUGAUGAUGAUGACGCUGGUAAUGUUUACCAUUCAAGAAGCUUUGAAACUAGUUUCAGAGUGAGAGAGCGUGUGGGCUGUCACCGAUUCCCCUUGAGAUGUUUAAAAGUAAUGAUUACGUUAAAUGCCUGAAAAAGUGUUUUACACUACGCCAAAAAACAUUUAAAACAAAAGAAUGAAGAAUUCUUCAAAUCAACUUAGAAGGACGGGCCGUGUGCGCCAGUCCCGUGAGGAAUAUUUAUCGAAAAAAAAGUCUUUACUGUAUUUUUUAAAAACCACCUCAAUAAACCAGUCAACCUCUGAAGUCAAUCUCUGAAGUCAGAAUAUUUUUAUGUUUUGAAAUACUUGUACUUUGUCACCUUUAUUAAGUGGACCAUUCAUGAAAUCAAGAAUAUCAAUAUACUGUUUAGUGUAAACUGUAUUUUGCCACCUCUAUUUUAAGGCUAAACUUUAGGUUUAGAUGGCCAUUGUAUAUUGAUUUAAGAUUACUUUCCAAAAAGAAUCCAAUUGUUACCGUAGCCUCGAAUUUUAUCUUCAUAUAUAGUGACGAAAUAAAACUCAAUGCAAUAAAUCGAUCUUUCUGCUGUACGCUAUAAUAGUGCCCUCUCUCGUUUCCCGCAAACCCGCAGGAUGUUGACAAUUCCAAGAAAACUAAAUAGCGUCUAAAUAAAUGUAAACUGUAAUCAAAGUGUUCGCCGAAAUGACUUUGAAGUGGAAAGCGCACAGGAAUGAAUACAAUAACUCGAUGUCUCUGAUAUAGCCAUAAAUAGUCUGUUUUCUCGGUGACAAACAAACUAAAAUACUUCCAUGCUCUGCGUUCUAACGGCAUAAUAAAGGAAGUAUAUGGGCCGAGAAGGCCGAAUAUGUGCUCUAUUACAAGGCCGCCGACCUCCGGGGAGAGCAAUUGAGCCCCUAGAAGUCUUCCAAAGGUUAAACCUAUGACAACAACAUCCAAGCCUCUGUAAAUGGAUUUGAUUAAUCUUUCUUUCACAAUAUCAACAUAUCUGCCGGGCAAUCAAAUGAUGCGAAGCUGUCGUUAUUAACGACCACAAAUAGGGUAACGAUUAAUUCAAAAGAAAAGGCCAAACAUAUUGAAGCGGAACAAUAUAUUGAUUGCUGCCAUUCUAGGAAUGUCAUCACGUCUUCGUCGAUCAAUGAACCGAGACGAUGUUAUUAUUUUUCUAUUAUUCGCGAGCUCAAUAGCUGAUGAUAAAUAAAGAUAAACUACGAAGAAAUCAGUAUUGGACCAGUAGAGGAAAGUUUGUAAUAAAUAUUCUUGAUAUACUCUUUAGCAUCCUGGAAACCUUCAGUAGAAAAACAAUUGGACAAUAGUUUUUUUUGGUCAGAGACGAAUUGAAAAUAGGUUAAACUCGCUGCUAAAUUUAUCAAUUGCACACGAUGCAGCGCUUGUAAUUAAGACCAAUUGUAAAUUUUCCAGCAUUUUAGAACUUUUCGUGAUGAAUAACCGUUGAUUGUGAGAACUAACUGUCGUCAACAUUGAAAUCUCUUUGUUGAUGACAGACUUCACAAGAAUGUCACAUUUCGUUCCUAAAAGGACCACAACGGAAGCCAAGCCUUGAAAACUUCUGUCGUGCAUAUGAUAACUUAACCAUAGUAUUAGACGAUUUGGAACUAGAAUUUUGACUAAAGGACAUACAACAUUAGGCGGUAGAAGUAUCUGCACAAUUUAUAUCGUUUGAGACGAGACAAUAUUAUCUUUCAAAGAGGUCUUCAAGUUCUGACUAUAGUAUUAAGAGAAAGACUAAUGCACAUGUGAUAGGUUCAGUUAAAGGCGUGACACAACAGUCGUCACAUAGUAUGGGUCUUGGUUCCAGUUUUGGACGUCAACAGAAAGCGGUGUAUGUGUUUCUGAAGCGAGAAUAUUGAUACACAACAAAUGUUUGCUAGUCGAAUGGACCAUAGCAAGGCACAAAGAUGUGGCGAUCUACCUCAGAAAAGGAAUACGGUAGCUGAAUAAGCUGUUUUUGUUAUCGAAAAUGGCUUAAGACAAAAGUAUACAUACAAAAAUUGGUAACGGGUAACGAAAUUUUAUUUAAAAAUAGAGUCAUUUAUAAGAUAUCUAUAUAUAUGCAUCAUACAAAGUAUUUUUAAUUUUAAGGGUAUAGAAAUGACAAACAGAACACUGAAAUUUCAUUUUCACACACCUUAGGAAUAUUUUUAUCCUGAAUGUAUUUUCAUCAAGAGUUAAUACUUCUGUGUGUGUUUUUACCUUAUUUUUUAGAGCCUGGCACUCACACUCGUCGCCGAUGUGUUACUCCUUAAAUUGUCGUGCCCAACGCUAACAUUAAGUCAAGCGCAAGCCUCACGCAUCGCCCGUAGCUUAAAUGAAUGAAUUCUUGGAGAUAAAGUCGCCGUACAAUCAUAUCACCAUCUCUUUUUGCUUAUUCGGCGCCCAAUUAGAAGUGGCUUGUUACAAAAAGAUCAUUAACUCCGCCGUUUAGUAUAUCUUCCAGCUGUGCUGUUCUUUGUAGUGUUGCUAAACUCAAACGCUUAGAAUACUCCCUCGAACCCUAGGGGUCAUCGGCACCAUCUCCUUGCAAAAUAGACAAUUUCUGGAACUCUUUUGUUGAUAGACAUUUCGUUAAGAGCGAAUCUUUAGAACGCUAUAUGGAAAUUCCGCUCUUUAUUAUAUGGAAUUACUCUUCCGCCGGCUUUUGCCAAGGUUUUUUCUCGGGUUGUGAUAGUUAGUGGUGCUAUACUAAUUGAUUUUAUACGCUAAGUGACCAAGACGAGGCCGACAGCCAUCUUAAGUGAACGUCCAAUCAGAAAAGAAAGCAAAUGACGUCAUAAAGUUAAAAGUCACGGAGUCCCUACCGGAGACCAUUCUGUUAUACGGAGUUAUAAAGCUCAUUUAUUUUGCAGAACAAACUAGAAAAUGUGGUAACAUGUUGUAAACAAACGACAGCAUUUGCAUCAUUACUUACGUAUUUUUGCCGUUGAUUGACAAGACGAAUUCUUAAACUGUUUCUGGCACCCUCAAAGGCGGACAGUGGUCAAAUAUCGGUGUCAAACAUCUCACUUCGUCUCACAGGAAAAGAUACCGAUCUAAAGCUAGUUUAAUGAGUCGAAGAAGAGUUAGCUCCGACUGAGAUAUAUCGUGAUAUCAAAAGUUCGUGACUUCAUUUUAGAACUGGGUUUUUGGAAAGGCAGUGUGCCAUGUUCAUUGCCGUUAUCUUCUCUGGGCCAAUUAUAGAGCGGUUUGGAAAGCUUUGAAGAUUUAAGUUGUUGCAGUCGGUAAAUAAGGGUAUUGCCUCAAAUGCGGCGUCUCUUUAGAAAUAGUUAUCGUGCGGAUAUAAAUGAAAGAUAAAGCGUUGCACGGCGCUUUAAAAAAAAUAGUGAAGUUAUAUAGCUAGAAACUUAACAACUUGAAAGAUAUAAACUCAUUUUUCAAGGAAACCUCGACUUUAAAUACCAAUCGAAAAGAAAAGGCGAUGGAAAAUAAGAGACGUCAGCAAAAAGCCCUGAACUAUUUCCAAUCAAUAGACCAAA